rnacentral:lncRNA from 10 species
AGUGGGCGGGGCCAUGGGGCUCAAGGGCUGAGCAAAUCUGAACAGCAGGCAGUGGACGUAGUCAUGGGGCUCAAGGGCGGAGCAAACAUCAACAGCUGGUGGUGAGCGGGGUGACAGGUGGACUGAGGAAGGCAGGGCCAUGGGCUUGGAGGCGGGACACGCGUCAGUAGCAGGUGGCGGCGGGGCUAUGGAGCUCAAGGAUGGAGCAAAUGUCAACAGGCACAGAUGAUGGGAGGUUUAACUGACGCUGCUGCACUGGAUACCCCACCCCGGUGCCGGGCACAUAGGUGCAGCCUGAGAGUAAGCAGACCUGGGUUGGAAGGUCCCGCGAUUCACCACCGACAGGAUGGGCGGCCUUGGCAACCCCCGACCCCUCGCAGGCCUGUUCCCUUAUCCAUGAGAUGGAACUCGGACAAGGUGGCCACAGGAAGGCUUUGCAAACUGUGAAGUGCAGUGCCUACGUGGGCGUGCCAGUGGCCUCGCCGGAGCCGGUAGGGAACACUCUGCAGUCCAGGCCAGGGCCCCGGUAGGACACCCAGCUGUGCAUCCCGCCCGUGGCCGCAAGGCCCGCACCUUGGCCAACAGGAGCAGGGUGCGGCUGGUGCGGGCGUCCGCGUGGCGCUCCCGCAGGUGGAAGAGCUUGGGCGACAUGAUGGCGGGAGAGAAGAAGCGCAGGCACAGGAAGCUGGUGACGGCGAUGAACGAUCAAACUGUUGAGGGUCCACAAACAGGCUGAAGACCUCGUCUG